rnacentral:rRNA from 1 species
GACGAACGCUGGCGGCGUGCUUAACACAUGCAAGUCGAACGGAAAGGCCCCCACCUUGGUGGGGGUGCUCGAGUGGCGAACGGGUGAGUAACACGUGGGUGAUCUGCCCUGUACUUCGGGAUAAGCUUGGGAAACUGGGUCUAAUACCGGAUAGGACCAUGGUUUAGUGUCUCAUGGUGGAAAGAUUUUUUGGUGCAGGAUGAGCUCGCGGCCUAUCAGCUUGUUGGUGGGGUAAUGGCCUACCAAGGCGUCGACGGGUAGCCGGCCUGAGAGGGUGGACGGCCACAUUGGGACUGAGAUACGGCCCAGACUCCUACGGGAGGCAGCAGUGGGGAAUAUUGCACAAUGGGCGCAAGCCUGAUGCAGCGACGCCGCGUGGGGGAUGACGGCCUUCGGGUUGUAAACUCCUUUCGUUAGGGACGAAGCCGCACCUUUUUUG